rnacentral:rRNA from 1 species
GUCUAAAAUCAUACUGCCCUGAACAUACCCAAUCUCUUCUCAUCUCAGAAGCUAAGCAGGGCCGGGACUGGUUAGUAUUUGAAUGGGAGACCGCCUAGGAUUACCAGGUGCUGUAGGCU